UGGUGGAGUGAUUUGUCUGCUUAAUUGCGAUAACGAACGAGACCUUAACCUGCUAAAUAGCCCGACCCGCACUCGCGGGCCGCUGGCUUCUUAGAGGGACUAUCGGCUCAAGCCGAUGGAAGUUUGAGGCAAUAACA
rnacentral:rRNA from 1 species